CGAUCCAUUUGCAGGAACCAGAAAAAAUCUCAAAAAGCAGAUCAAGACGAGUGUUGAAGUAUCUACGUCAUAAAGACGUUAUUUCGCAUCCAUAACGGUGUUUCAUCAGUUACACUGUGUAGCCACUGCAUCGACAUGGUUCGGUUGGCUUUCAUGUGCCACGCUGAUACCGUAGUCAUCACUUGGAAUGGGGCAUUCUUUGAGGGAGAGCCAGAUUUUUGUGCAAAGCAUCAGUGCAGAAAUUCUGAUGCAAUUCUUGAAUGCUCGAAACAUGAGGUCAGUAAGGAGAAGGAAUUCGCCGG
rnacentral:sRNA from 2 species